rnacentral:tRNA from 1 species
UCCGAUGGAUCACUGUGAUAGCAUCAAGCGGCUGUUAACCGCUAGGUUGUAGGUUCGAGCCCUACCCGGGGAGCCA